UACGUGGGGUGCGAGCGUUGUUCGGAAUUACUGGGCGUAAAGCGCGUGUAGGCGGCUCACUACGUUCGAUGUGAAAGCCCUGGGCUUAACCCAGGAACUGCAUUGAAAACUGGUGGGCUUGAGUCCGGGAGAGGGUCGCGGAAUUCCUGGUGUAGAGGUGAAAUUCGUAGAUAUCAGGAGGAACACCGGUGGCGAAGGCGGCGACCUGGACCGGUACUGACGCUGAGACGCGAAAGCGUGGGGAGCAAACAGG
rnacentral:rRNA from 1 species